rnacentral:rRNA from 1 species
UACGUAGGUGGCAAGCGUUGUCCGGAUUUAUUGGGUUUAAAGGGUGCGUAGGCGGUCAUGUAAGUCAGCGGUGAAAUCCGGCAGCUCAACUGUCGAUGUGCCAUUGAUACUGCAUGACUUGAGUACUGAUGAGGUAGGCGGAAUUGACGGUGUAGCGGUGAAAUGCUUAGAUAUCGUCAAGAACACCGAUAGCGAAGGCAGCUUACUAAAGAGUAACUGACGCUGAGGCACGAAAGUGUGGGGAUCAAACAGG